GGCGCCAUAGUCUAUCGGUUAGGACGUCGCCCUUUCACGGCGAAGAGACGAGUUCGAUUCUCGUUGGCGCUACCA
rnacentral:tRNA from 1 species